rnacentral:rRNA from 1 species
CGCAUGCAGGUGGUUUGUUAAGUCAGAUGUGAAAGCCCGGGGCUCAACCUCGGAAUUGCAUUUGAAACUGGCAAACUAGAGUACUGUAGAGGGGGGUAGAAUUUCAGGUGUAGCGGUGAAAUGCGUAGAGAUCUGAAGGAAUACCGGUGGCGAAGGCGGCCCCCUGGACAGAUACUGACACUCAGAUGCGAAAGCGUGGGGAGCAAACAGGAUUAGAUACCCUGGUAG